UGAACGCCUCUAAGUCAGAAUCCAUGCUCGGAUAUAGACGAUAAUCACCUUUCCCGAUGUGCCGCGAAUAGCGAUAGGUGUCUUCUGGACACCCAACAUCAUACAAUUGCAACGCACUCCGCUGCCUGUCAAGUACUGGCGGUGGAGAGUAGGCUGAUUUGU